rnacentral:rRNA from 1 species
UACCAGCACCCCGAGUGGUCGGGACGUUUAUUGGGCCUAAAGCAUCCGUAGCCGGUUCUACAAGUCUUCCGUUAAAUCCAACUGCUUAACAGGUGGGCUGCGGAAGAUUCUAUAGAGCUAGGAGGCGGGAGAGGCAAGCGGUACUCGAUGGGUAGGGGUAAAAUCCGUUGAUCCAUUGAAGACCACCAGUGGCGAAGGCGGCUUGCCAGAACGCGCUCGACGGUGAGGGAUGAAAGCUGGGGGAGCAAACCGG